rnacentral:lncRNA from 1 species
UGCAUAUCAAUACCUUUUUGACACCUUUGGCAUCCUUAUCAGCACUUUUAUUUUACUGUCUUUGCCAAAUGUCAGCAAAAAAUGCUUUUAACCCACUUAGUGAACAUUGCCAAACUAGCCCAAAAUCUAUUAUCUAUACAUGAGUGAAUAUUUUCUGAUUUCGGACUCAUUUGAUUCCUAGGCAAGAUAUUCCACUGGCACACCCAUA